AGUUCACAUCCUGGCUCAGAUUGAACGCUGGCGGGAUGCUUUAAGCACAUGCAAGUCGAACGGCAGCACGGACUUCGGUCCGGUGGCGAGUGGCGAACGGUGAGUAAUGUAUCGGAACGUGCCUAGUAGCGGGGAUAACUACGAAAGCGGAAGCAUUACCGCAUACGCCCUUCGGGGGAAAGCGGGGACCUUCGGGCCUCGCACUAUUAGAGCGGCCGAUAUCGGAUUAGCUAGUUGGUGGGGUAACGGCUCACCAAGGCGACGAUCCGUAGCCGGUUUGAGAGGACGACCAGCCACACUGGACUGAGACAUCGGCCUCAGACUCUACGGAAGCGGUGCAGUAAAUUUUUGGACACGGGGAACCAUCUGCACCGCAGGCGAUGGCGGCUUCGGUUGUAAAGCACUUGCAGGAAGGUAAACGGCACGGAUACGUCCGUGCAACUGACUUCUGUACCAUAAUAAAGCCAGCAACUACGUUGCCGGCAGCCUGCGCAGUGCCGGUGCAAAGGCGUUAAUCGUGGAAAUUAAUGGGCGCAAAGCGGCGCAGGCGGUUCGGAAAGAAAGAUGUGGAAAUCCCAGAGCUUAACUUUGAACUGCAUUUUUAACUACCGAGCUAGAGUGUGUCAGAGGGAGGGACCGUGUAGCAGAAAUGCGUAGAUAUGCGGAGGAACACCGAUGGCGAAGGCAGCCUCCUGGGAUAACACUGACGCUCGCAUCAAAGCGUGGGGAGCAAACAGGAUUAGAUACCCCGGUAGUCCACGCCCUAAACGAUGUCAACUAGCUGUUGGGGCCUUCGGGCCUUGGUAGCGCAGCUUAACGCGUGAAGUUGACCGCCUGUGGAGUACGGUCGCAAGAUUAAAACUCAAAGGAAUUGACGGGGACCCGCACAAGCGGUGGAUGAUGUGGAUUAAUUCGAUGCAACGCGAAAAACCUUACCUACCCUUGACAUGUCUGGAAUCCCGGAAGAGAUUUGGAGUGCUCGCAAGAGAACCGAACACAGGUGCUGCAUGGCUGCUGUGUCAGCUCGUGUCGUGAGAUGUUGGGUUAAGUCCCGCAACGAGCGCAACCCUUGUCAUUAGUUGCUACGAAAGGGCACUCUAAUGAGACUGCCGGUGACAAACCGGAGGAAGGCGGGGGAUGACGUCAAGUCCUCAUGGCCCUUAUGGGUAGGGCUUCAAGACGUCAUACAAUGGUCGGGACAGAGGGCCAACCCGCGAGGGGGAGCCAAUCCCAGAAACCCGAUCGUAGUCCGGACUGUAGUCUGCAACUCGGACUGCGUGAAGUCGGAAUCGCUAGUAAUCGCGGAUCAGCAUGUCGCGGUGAAUACGUUCCCGGGUCUUGCACACACCGCCCGUCACACCGGCGAGUGGGUUUUACCAGAAGUAGUUAGCCUAACCGGGGCGGAGGGCGAUUACCAUAUAGGAUUCAUGAUCGGGGUGAAGUCGUAACAAGGU
rnacentral:rRNA from 1 species